UACAGAGGGUGCGAGCGUUAAUCGGAAUUACUGGGCGUAAAGGGCGCGUAGGCGGUCUAUCAAGUGAGAUGUGAAAUCCCCGGGCUUAACCUGGGAACUGCAUCUUAAACUGAUGGGCUGGAGUACUGUAGAGGAUAGUGGAAUUUCCGGUGUAGCGGUGAAAUGCGUAGAGAUCGGAAGGAACAUCAGUGGCGAAGGCGACUGUCUGGACAGAUACUGACGCUGAGGCGCGAAAGCUAGGGUAGCAAACGGG
rnacentral:rRNA from 1 species